rnacentral:misc_RNA from 1 species
UCUCCGUAGGUGAACCUGCGGCGGAAUCAUUACUGAGUGAGGGUCUCCGGGCCCGACCUCCCAACCCUUUGUCGAACACAACCGCGUUGCCUCGGGGGGCGUCUCGCCGCUCCCGGCGAGCACCCCCGGAGGAUCACCAAACUCUGCGUCUUUGCGUCGGAGUAUUGAAUUGAAAUCAAUCAAAACUUUCAACAACGGAUCUCUUGGUUCUGGCAUCGAUGAAGAACGCAGC